rnacentral:lncRNA from 1 species
GCCCGCCCCGCCUCCGCGCGCGGCCCUCCCCGGCUCAGUGCCCGGCGCUGCCGGGAAGCGGGCAGAGGGGCGCACCGGGCGGCGGGCGGGGACCUGGGGAAGGCCGGGAGCGCGGGGACUGAGGACGCACGCGGCGGGCCGGGCGGCGCGCGCCUCCCCCCUCCCCCGAGGCCCGAGCGCGAGUCGCCGUGACGUCACUGGCCACCCGCCAGCCCCGCGCUCCUCCGGGCAGAGCGCGUGUGGCCGCCGAGCACAUGGGCCCGCGGGCCGAGCGGGCUCAGGGAGGCCGGGACGAGGAGGGGCGACGAGGAGCUGCGAGCAAGGAUGUGCCUCGGGACCCCCCCGCACCUUCCCGUGGAUUUCCUUGCGGAAAGGAUGUUGACGGUCCCUGUGACCUGUGGAGACACGGCCAGAUCUGCCCUCCAGAGGAAAACCUUCCUGGAAGCUGCAGAAGGACAAAUGCAGAAUCCAUGUCUGGGAGAAACCUCGUGGCCUGGUCUCCAUUAUUUGAGAUGAGUUACAUCUUGGAGGUGAGGACGUGCCUCGUGGUCUAA